GCCGCGAGGCAAACAAGGCAUUUGCCUUGGGCGGCUUUUUUGCCGCCCCCUGAAAAAUGCCCCCAAAUGCCCAGGGCAAAUGCCUUGUUAGCCUCGCGGCUAAC